AUUAACGCUGGCGGCAGGCCUAACACAUGCAAGUCGGGCGAGAAAGCACUUCGGUGUGAGUAGAGCGGCGGACGGGUGAGUAACGCGUAGGAAUUUGCCCAGAGUGGGGGGACCCAGUAGUGGGGGACAACAUGUGGAAACGCAUGCUAAUACCGCAUACGCCCUACGGGGGAAAGCAGGGGAUCUUCGGACCUUGCGCUAUUGGAGAAGCCUGCGUCGGAUUAGCUAGUUGGUGGGGUAAAGGCCCACCAAGGCGACGAUCCGUAGCUGGUCUGAGAGGAUGAUCAGCCACACUGGGACUGAGACACGGCCCCGACUCCUACGGGAGGCAGCAGUGGGGAAUAUUGCACAAUGGGCGAAAGCCUGAUGCAGCAACGCCGCGUGUGUGAAGGAGGCCUUCGGGUCGUAAAGCACUGUCGAGUAGAACGAGCCGGUCGUGGUUAAUACCCGCGGCCCCGACGGUACUACUUGAGGAAGCACCGGCUAACUCCGUGCCAGCAGCCGCGGUAAUACGGAGGGUGCAAGCGUUGUUCGGAAUUAUUGGGCGUAAAGCGUGCGUAGGCGGACUGUUAAGUCUGAUGUGAAAUCCCUCGGCUCAACCGAGGACGUGCAUUGGAUACUGGCAGCCUUGAAUCCUGGAGAGGGUGGCGGAAUUCCCAGUGUAGAGGUGAAAUUCGUAGAGAUUGGGAGGAACACCAGCGGCGAAGGCGGCCACCUGGACAGUGAUUGACGCUAAGGUACGAAAGCGUGGGUAGCAAACAGGAUUAGAUACCCUGGUAGUCCACGCCGUAAACGAUGGCUACUAGUUGGUGCGGGUAUUGACCCCUGCGCUGACGAAGCUAACGCAUUAAGUAGCCCGCCUGGGGAGUACGGCCGCAAGGCUAAAACUCAAAGGAAUUGACGGGGGCCCGCACAAGCGGUGGAGCAUGUGGUUUAAUUCGACGCAACGCGAAGAACCUUACCUGGCCUUGACAUCCCGAGAAAGCCCUAGAAAUAGGGAAGUGCCCUUUGGGGAACUUGGUGACAGGUGCUGCAUGGCUGUCGUCAGCUCGUGUCGUGAGAUGUUGGGUUAAGUCCCGCAACGAGCGCAACCCCUGCCUUUAGUUGCCAUCAUUAAGUUGGGCACUCUAGAGGGACUGCCGGUGUCAAACCGGAGGAAGGUGGGGAUGACGUCAAGUCCUCAUGGCCUUUAUGACCAGGGCUACACACGUACUACAAUGGCAUGUACAAAGGGCAGCGAGCACGCGAGUGUCAGCGAAUCCCAUAAAGCAUGUCUCAGUCCGGAUUGGAGUCUGCAACUCGACUCCAUGAAGUUGGAAUCGCUAGUAAUCGUGGAUCAGCAUGCAACGGUGACUACGUUCCAGGGAAUUGUACACACCGC
rnacentral:rRNA from 1 species